rnacentral:rRNA from 1 species
GACGAACGCUGGCGGCGUGCUUAACACAUGCAAGUCGAACGGUAAGGCCCUUCGGGGUACACGAGUGGCGAACGGGUGAGUAACACGUGGGUGAUCUGCCCUGCACUUCGGGAUAAGCCUGGGAAACUGGGUCUAAUACCGGAUAGGACCACUGCCUGCAUGGGUGGUGGUGGAAAGCUUUUGCGGGGUGGGAUGGGCCCGCGGCCUAUCAGCUUGUUGGUGGGGUGAUGGCCUACCAAGGCGACGACGGGUAGCCGGCCUGAGAGGGUGACCGGCCACACUGGGACUGAGACACGGCCCAGACUCCUACGGGAGGCAGCAGUGGGGAAUAUUGCACAAUGGGCGAAAGCCUGAUGCAGCGACGCCGCGUGAGGGAUGAAGGUCUUCGGAUUGUAAACCUCUUUCAGUAGGGACGAAGCGAAAGUGACGGUACCUAAAGAAGAAGCACCGGCUAACUACGUGCCAGCCGCCGCAGUAA